GCCCUUUUAGCUCAGUGGUAGAGCGCGCCACUCGUACCAACAUAUGGCGAGGCCACUCGUUCAAUCCGGGUAGGGGGCA